AGCUCUUGACAUUCACUGAUCGUUUCCAGAGAUGGAUUCAUCCUAGCAAUAGGCAGUGGGACAGGUGCUGCAUGGCUGUCGUCAGCUCGUGUCGUGAGAUGUUGGGUUAAGUCCCGCAACGAGCGCAACCCUCGCCAUUAGUUGCCAUCAUUCAGUUGGGCACUCUAGUGGGACUGCCGGUGAUAAGCCGGAGGAAGGUGGGGAUGACGUCAAGU
rnacentral:rRNA from 1 species